CCUACGGGAGGCAGCAGUGAGGAAUAUUGGUCAAUGGGCGGGAGCCUGAACCAGCCCAGUCGCGUGAGGGCAGACGGUCCUAUGGAUUGUAAACCUCUUUAGGCGGGGAGCAAUGCCGGGCACGCGUGCCCGGAGGGAGAGUACCCGCAGAAUAAGCAUCGGCUAACUACGUGGCAGCAGCCGCGGUAAUACGGUGGAUGCGAGCGUUAUCCGGCUUUAAUGGGGUAACAGGGUGCGUAGGAGGAUUUUUUAGUCAGUGGUAAAAUGUUCGGGCUCAAUCCGGUCCGGCCGGUGAAACGGGUGAUCUUGAGUGGGCGAGAGGUAUGCGGAAUGCGUGGUGUAGCGGUGAAAUGCAUAGAUAUCACGCAGAACUCCGAUUGCGAAGGCAGCAUACCGGCGCCCGACUGACGCUGAGGCACGAAAGCGUGGGGAUCGAACAGGAUUAGAUACCCGUGUAGUC
rnacentral:rRNA from 1 species